rnacentral:tRNA from 2 species
GGAGGCGUGGCAGAGCGGCUUAAUGCAGCAUCCUGCUAAGAUGUUGUACCCGAAAGGGUACCGGAGGUUCGAAUCCUCCCGCCUCCGCCU